GGAAUAUUGCACAAUGGGGGAAACCCUGAUGCAGCGACGCCGCGUGAGCGAAGAAGUAUUUCGGUAUGUAAAGCUCUAUCAGCAGGGAAGAAAAAUGACGGUACCUGAGUAAGAAGCACCGGCUAAAUACGUGCCAGCAGCCGCGGUAAUACGUAGGGUGCAAGCGUGAUCCGGAUUUACUGGGUGUAAAGGGAGCGCAGGCGGUGCGGCAAGUCGGAGGUGAAGGCCCGGGGCUCAACCCCGGGACUGCAUUGGAAACUACCGAACUAGAGUGUCGGAGAGGUAAGUGGAAUUCCUAGUGUAGCGGUGAAAUGCGUAGAUAUUAGGAGGAACACCAGUGGCGGAGGCGGCUUACUGGACGAUAACUGACGCUGAGGCUCGAAAGCGUGGGGAGCAAAC
rnacentral:rRNA from 1 species